GAACAUCUACGCCGUGUACGAAGUGACUUACAUCAUUCUCGAUUCGUACAUCCACACAAGUCCUCUCGGGUCCUCACGACCCACAUUCACGAGACUCCUCACUGGCCGUACUCACGAGACUCCUCACUGGCCGUACUCACGAGACUCCUCACUGGCCGUACUCACGAGACUCCUCAUUGGCCGUACUCACGAGACUCCUCAUUAGCCGUACUCACGAGAUCUAUCUCCUCAUUGGCCGUACUCACAGGACUCCUCAUAUUCACCAGAUAAACCAGGACCUCAGAGGCCGGCCUCACGGCUGCUUUGUGCUUGAACCCAACUCGCUCACCUGUAAUUAGUUGAAACUUUACAAUGACUGCUGGCAAAGAAUCAUCAGAGAAGGAAGUAAUGAAGGAGUCUGAAGAUUGCUUGGGUUGUCGACUGGUUGGUGGUGGUGGUUGUCUAGGAGCUUCCCUCUAUGUAGCCUAUCAUGGAUCAAGGAAUACAAAUCGUAUUGGAAGACCUCUCACCUUUGUACUUGCUGGAGCACUUGCAGGAGUGGGUAUAACAAGACUACUGAGACUCCCACCAUUUGAGAAGAGCAGGAGAACAAAUACCUUGUGACCAACCUUUGUCAUGACAAUCGUCUUCAGCGUGUUACCAUAAGGAAUUUAUGUAGGAAUGUGCAUAUAUUUAAGUACUGAAAGUAACUUGUAAAUGAAUUAAACAAUACUGAAUA